AGUCACUGACAUUAGAUACCCGGGUAGUCCCAGCCGUAAACAAUGUGCGUUAGGUGUGUCGGUAACCACGUGUUACUGAUGCGCCGAAGAGAAAUCGUGAAACGCACCACCUGGGAAGUACGGUCGCAAGGCUGAAACUUAAAGGAAUUGCGGGGGAGCACCACAACAGGUGGAGCCUGCGGUUUAAUUGGAUUCAACGCCGGACAUCUCACCGGAUAAGACAGCUGAAUGAUUGUCAAUCUGAAGGUUUUACAUGACUAGCUG
rnacentral:rRNA from 1 species